GAUGAACGCUGGCGGCGUGCCUAAUACAUGCAAGUCGAGCGAACAGACGAGGAGCUUUCUCCUCUGACGUUAGCGGCGGACGGGUGAGUAACACGUGGAUAACCUACCUAUAAGACUGGGAUAACUUCGGGAAACCGGAGAUAAUACCGGAUAAUAUAUUCAACCGCAUGGUUCAAUAGUGAAAGACGGUUUUGCUGUUACUUAUAGAUGGUUCCGCGCCGCAUUAGCUAGUUGGUAAGGUAACGGCUUACCAAGGCGACGAUGCGUAGCCGACCUGAGAGGGUGAUCGGCCACACUGGAACUGAGACACGGUCCAGACUCCUACGGGAGGCAGCAGUAGGGAAUCUUCCGCAAUGGGCGAAAGCCUGACGCAGCAACGCCGCGUGAGUGAUGAAGGUCUUCGGAUCGUAAAACUCUGUUAUUAGGGAAGAACAAAUGUGUAAGUAACUAUGCACGUCUUGACGGUACCUAAUCAGAAAGCCACGGCUAACUACGUG
rnacentral:rRNA from 1 species